rnacentral:rRNA from 1 species
UGGCUCAGGACGAACGCUGGCGGCGUGCUUAACACAUGCAAGUCGAACGGUAAGNCCCUUUCGGGGGUACACGAGUGGCGAACGGGUGAGUAACACGUGGGUANUCUGCCCUGCACUCUGGGAUAAGCCUGGGAAACUGGGUCUAAUACCGGAUAUGANCCUUUCAUCGCAUGGUGGGGGUUGGAAAGUUUUUUCGGUGCAGGAUGUGCCCGCGGCCUAUCAGCUUGUUGGUGGGGUAAUGGCCUACCAAGGCGACGACGGGUAGCCGGCCUGAGAGGGUGAUCGGCCACACUGGGACUGAGACACGGCCCAGACUCCUACGGGAGGCAGCAGUGGGGAGUAUUGCACAAUGGGCGGAAGCCUGAUGCAGCGACGCCGCGUGGGGGAUGACGGUCUUCGGAUUGUAAACCCCUUUCAGUAGGGACGAAGCGCAAGUGACGGUACCUGCAGAAGAAGCACCGGCCAACUACGUGCCAGCAGCCGCGGUAAUACGUAGGGUGCGAGCGUUGUCCGGAAUUACUGGGCGUAAAGAGCUCGUAGGCGGUUUGUCGCGUCGUCUGUGAAAACUCGGAGCUUAACUCCGGGCGUGCAGGCGAUACGGGCAGACUUGAGUACUACAGGGGAGACUGGAAUUCCUGGUGUAGCGGUGAAAUGCGCAGAUAUCAGGAGGAACACCGGUGGCGAAGGCGGGUCUCUGGGUAGUAACUGACGCUGAGGAGCGAAAGCAUGGGUAGCGAACAGGAUUAGAUACCCUGGUAGUCCAUGCCGUAAACGGUGGGCGCUAGGUGUGGGGGUCUUCCACGAUCUCCGUGCCGUAGCUAACGCAUUAAGCGCCCCGCCUGGGGAGUACGGCCGCAAGGCUAAAACUCAAAUGAAU